UACGAAGGGGGCUAGCGUUGUCCGGAAUUAUUGGGCGUAAAGAGCUCGUAGGCGGUUCGUCGCGUCGGCUGUGAAAACCCGGAGCUCAACUCCGGGCCUGCAGUCGAUACGGGCGGACUUGAGUGUUGCAGGGGAGACUGGAAUUCCUGGUGUAGCGGUGAAAUGCGCAGAUAUCAGGAGGAACACCGGUGGCGAAGGCGGGUCUCUGGGCAACUACUGACGCUGAGGAGCGAAAGCGUGGGGAGCGAACAGG
rnacentral:rRNA from 1 species